ensembl:lncRNA
CAGAGAGCGAUGUGUGCGUCUUUCUCCCCUUAUGUCCGAGCAUAGACACCAGUCGCGCACACAGAAAAAGCAGACGGGCCGCGCGGAUCUCCCUGCCGCUUUUUGCUUUGUUUGCGCCUCUCGUUGCGCGUUUGCUGCACCUGGAUCUCCGCCUCGGAGGUUGCUGAUGGGGGAAUUCCGGCUUUGCAAUGAGACUAUCAAUAAUACCGAACCUCAUGUGGCUGAAAUAUUUAGACUUUCACAUCGUCCGGUGCAUGUGAUGAAGAGAAGCUCUCCUCCAGCUGAUGACCGAGACCUGUGCUGUGAUUUCACGAGAUAUCCUCGGUACGGGAGACGACAUCGCUGUGGCCGCCUGAGAGGACUUGUGUGUCCGGAGCCGUCGGGGAUUGGCCGCGUGUCAUCCUGGGUCUUCAGAAGGAACAGUGAAGGAACGUUGUGUUGGGGACUUGGGGAUGAGAGGUUUGGGGACCCGUUGAGUGGCUCAGAAUCAUGCUUUUAUUAUUGAAUCAUGCUCGGAGGAGAUUCUGGCAAAUGUGCAUCACACUGAGGGCUGCAGGUGUUUUCAAGCCGAGCGAUGAUGAUGCUGCGACACGCAUCCAUGGCGAUGAAUAAAAAAUGAUUCUGCUAUCUGACCCCUGUCACUCCUUUUCUUUUUUCUUCCCAUUUUCACCCACUAAAUUAGUGCAGCUGCACCACACUUAAAUGGGUGCCCCUCUUUUUUCUUCUUCCUCUGGGAGUGUAUGUGACCGACCAUGAAUCCUCUCUUUGUGCUGCGUCUGCAGAGCCCCCCUCCCCUACCACCACCACCACCACCCACCCCCCCACUAUAGUUUCUUGCCGUCUCUGGCUUUUUUUAUUUGGGAGAAGAGGGGCUUCGGUUGCAACGGCGGCAGCACUGGUGAGGUGGUGGUGGUGGCGACGGAGCGGGUAACUUGUUGG